UACGUAGGUGGCAAGCGUUGUCCGGAUUUACUGGGUGUAAAGGGCGUGUAGGCGGAGCUGCAAGUCAGAUGUGAAAUCCCGGGGCUCAACCCCGGAACUGCAUUUGAAACUGUAGCCCUUGAGUAUCGGAGAGGCAGGCGGAAUUCCUAGUGUAGCGGUGAAAUGCGUAGAUAUUAGGAGGAACACCGGUGGCGAAAGCGGCUCUCUGGCCUGUAACUGACACUGAGGCUCGAAAGCGUGGGGAGCAAACAGG
rnacentral:rRNA from 1 species